AUUGAACGCUGGCGGCAUGCCUUACACAUGCAAGUCGAACGGCAGCGCGGGGCAACCUGGCGGCGAGUGGCGAACGGGUGAGUAAUAUAUCGGAACAUACCCUAGAGUGGGGGAUAACGUAGCGAAAGUUACGCUAAUACCGCAUACGCACUAAGGUGGAAGGUGGGGGAUCUUCGGACCUCAUGCUCAUGGAGUGGCCGAUAUCUGAUUAGCUAGUUGGUGAGGUAAAGGCUCACCAAGGCGACGAUCAGUAGCUGGUUUGAGAGAACGACCAGCCACACUGGAACUGAGACACGGUCCAGACUCCUACGGGAGGCAGCAGUGGGGAAUUUUGGACAAUGGGGGCAACCCUGAUCCAGCAAUGCCGCGUGAGUGAAGAAGGCCUGGUGUAAGCU
rnacentral:rRNA from 1 species